UACAGAGGGGGCCAGCGUUAUUCGGAAUUAUUGGGCGUAAAGGGCGCGUAGGCGGCCUGCUAAGUCGAACGUGAAAUCCCUGGGCUCAACCCAGGAACUGCGUCCGAUACUGGUUGGCUUGAAUCCGGGAGAGGGAUGUGGAAUUCCAGGUGUAGCGGUGAAAUGCGUAGAUAUCUGGAGGAACACCGGUGGCGAAGGCGACAUCCUGGACCGGUAUUGACGCUGAGGCGCGAAAGCCAGGGGAGCAAACGGG
rnacentral:rRNA from 1 species